UAGGGAAUCUUCGGCAAUGGGGGCAACCCUGACCGAGCAACGCCGCGUGAGUGAAGAAGGUCUUCGGAUCGUAAAACUCUGUUGUUAGAGAAGAACACGAGUGAGAGUAACUGUUCAUUCGAUGACGGUAUCUAACCAGCAAGUCACGGCUAACUACGUGUCAG
rnacentral:rRNA from 1 species